rnacentral:misc_RNA from 1 species
GAAGAAAGGGAGGGAACAUUUGCCAAAAUAUUUACCGGCGAUGAUUCAUGGUCCCAAAGGUCCGGAGACCUUGAUAAUUCUCCAAGGCUACCUGCUGCCGGAAAUGCAGAAGAUCAUGACACUAUGGAAGUGACAGACGUCAUUGAAGCUAACUUGACGUCAGAAAUGGGAAAUUCCUCAGAUCAACAUGAUGACCAAACAUAUAGUUUUAAACGUUUUGAUAUCACAACAGAUCCUUAUGAUCAUCAUUUUCUUGGUACAAGUGGCCAGAAUAAUGCUGGGAGGAAG